CGGUGAAGCAGAGCUUGCUCUGUGGAUCAGUGGCGAACGGGUGAGUAACACGUGAGCAAUCUGCCCCUGACUCUGGGAUAAGCGCUGGAAACGGCGUCUAAUACCGGAUACGAGCUGCGACCGCAUGGUCAGUAGCUGGAAAGAAUUUCGGUCAGGGAUGAGCUCGCGGCCUAUCAGCUUGUUGGUGAGGUAAUGGCUCACCAAGGCGUCGACGGGUAGCCGGCCUGAGAGGGUGACCGGCCACACUGGGACUGAGACACGGCCCARACUCCUACGGGAGGCAGCAGUGGGGAAUAUUGCACAAUGGGCGCAAGCCUGAUGCAGCAACGCCGCGUGAGGGAUGACGGCCUUCGGGUUGUAAACCUCUUUUAGCAGGGAAGAAGCGAAAGUGACGGUACCUGCAGAAAAAGCGCCGGCUAACUACGUGCCAGCAGCCGCGGUAAUACGUAGGGCGCAAGCGUUAUCCGGAAUUAUUGGGCGUAAAGAGCUCGUAGGCGGUCUGUCGCGUCUGCUGUGAAAACCCGAGGCUCAACCUCGGGCCUGCAGUGGGUACGGGCAGACUAGAGUGCGGUAGGGGAGAUUGGAAUUCCUGGUGUAGCGGUGGAAUGCGCAGAUAUCA
rnacentral:rRNA from 1 species